rnacentral:rRNA from 1 species
UUGGAGGGCAAGUCUGGUGCCAGCAGCCGCGGUAAUUCCAGCUCCAAUAGCGUAUAUUAAAGUUGCUGCAGUUAAAAAGCUCGUAGUUGAAUUUCGGGACCAUCAUGUCGGUCGUGCUUCGGUACGUACUGGUAUUGUUGGUUUCUCCCUUCUGACGAACCAUGAUGUCAUUUAUUUGGUGUUGUGGGGAAUCAGGACUGUUACUUUGAAAAAAUUAGAGUGUUUAAAGCAGGCUCACGCUUGAAUACAUUAGCAUGGAAUAAUGAAAUAGGACGUUUGAUUCUAUUUUGUUGGUUUCUAGGAUCGACGUAAUGAUUAAUAGGGAUAGUUGGGGGCAUUAGUAUUCAAUUGUCAGAGGUGAAAUUCUUGGAUUUAUUGAAGACUAACUACUGCGAAAGCAUUUGCCAAGGAUGUUUUCAUUAAUCAAGAACGAAAGUUAGGGGAUCGAAGACGAUCAGAUACCGUCGUAGUCUUAACCAUAAACUAUGCCGACUAGGGAUCGGAUGAUGUUAAUUUUUUAAUGACUCAUUCGGCGCCUUACGGGAAAC